UUACUGGGUAAGCCAGCUUCCAGCUUACACUGUGGUUGUCCAAGCUUACAGGGCACGUGCUUUCAAAAGGCUUCAGUGUGAGAGGGCUGAGUGACGCACGCUUGUCAAGAUUCCUUUAACAACAUUUUGCAACGCCCUCAUGCCUCCUAGAUCUUCAGGAAAAUGAGUGUCAUGGAAGCUAGCAGGAGAAGCUCCUGCCUCCUAUAAGAAGUCCUUGCCCCUCUCACCCCUCCCCCACACCAUCAUCUCUCAGCUUACAUGGUAGCUGUAAGAACCCAAGCAAACUUCCUUUCAUCACUACUUGUUGGAAGCAACACGCCGUCCACAAGAAUAAGCUGGGAGUCUUAACUCUGCUCUUGUAAAUUCUGAAGAGGUUUUGUUGCUAUCUUUUCAUGGAUCUACCACAAUGAUAUGAAGGAAUUUAUCUCAUAUACCUUUCAUGUGAUGUCUUUGUUUCUGGAAGCACAAACCUGACUCUGGUCUUUAUAUGUGGCCUUAUCUUCCCACAUCCUUCCCUCAAGUACUCUGGGAAGAAAAAGAGAGAUCCCUGCUAGACAGGAGAGGCUCUAAGUAUUUUCAGAGCACAGUUCAAACACUAAGGCAAGUGCUACUGUUGACAGAGUUCCCCGGUUACUGGGAAUCUUCCAGAAGCUGCUAAGUUUCUCCUCAAUAGUCUAGCAGAGCACACACGUCCUGAAUCAGCUGGCCAAUGCAGAAAACAAGUCUUCAUUCUAUUGUUCUAGAGACUUUACAGUUUCAACACCACAAAGUUGAGCAAGCACUUAUUAAUUUGUAUUCCAUAAAGAAUAGGGCAUAGGCUUACAAGAAAUAUCUGCUUGUAUACAACAAAAAUAUUCAGAAUGGUUGUGUGUGGAGGUCACUUCCCAGAAAUUCAGAAGGUAUCUGAGACUAUACAUAAAAAGAUCUGGGCAGCAUAAUCACACGUAUACUGUCCCCCAGCCACAGACACCGACCACGGCAGGCUCUGGUCUCUGAUAGACCUUUUUCAGUUACACGAAGAUGACACCAUUCUUGACAAACAGCGUUUUGUUGCUACAGAAGAUCUGCCAGGAUACCAGGCUGCUGUCUCAUAGUGGAUAAUCACAGGGUGGGGGUGGGGGGUGGGGGUGGGUGGAGUGGCCCUGUAGGUCAAACGGGAAACAGCCUCCAAACCUACCUGGGGUCACUUCAAUUGUUGUCUGCUGCCUGAAACAGGAUGGGCUCCCUGUGAGCACAAGCCUGACAAAGCACACCAUCACCAAGGCUACCUCCAGGUGGCCAGGGACCCUGCUGU
rnacentral:lncRNA from 1 species